rnacentral:rRNA from 1 species
GAUGAACGCUAGCGGCAGGCUUAAUACAUGCAAGUCGAGGGGGCAGCAAUGUCACCGGCGAACGGGUGCGUAACGCGUAUGCAACCUACCUACAUCAGGGGGAUAGCCCUAGGAAACUGGGAUUAACACCGCAUAACAUAUGACAAGGCAUCUUGUUAUAUGGGAAUAUUUAUAGGACGGAGAUGGGCAUGCGUAGGAUUAGCUAGUUGGUAAGGUAACGGCUUACCAAGGCUACGAUCCUUGGGGGCUCUGAGAGGAGUAUCCCCCACACUGGCACUGAGAUACGGGCCAGACUCCUACGGGAGGCAGCAGUAGGGAAUAUUGGGCAAUGGAGGCAACUCUGACCCAGCCAUGCCGCGUGCAGGAAGACGGUCCUCUGGAUUGUAAACUGCUUUUGAAUGGGAAGAAUGUGUGGCUUGCGAGCUAUAAUGACGGUACCAUUAGAAUAAGCCACGGCUAACUACGUGCCAGCAGCCGCCGUAA